GGGGUCGGGAGUGAGGACGAGAUAGAGGCAGGCAGCGUUUCUCAGCCAGUCGAAAUCAUGAAUCAGCUGGAAUCAUGUUCAUGGAUACAAAGAAAUGGCAAUUGAAAAAAGGGAGCCGGUAAACAAAUGCUGUGGAUCCCUUGGGUGCGGUGCUCGGCGAACCACAGAGCCUUCAUUUGCUCCCUCUUGUCUCAGUCUGCGGGCGUGUAUUUCAGUCCUUCUGAAGGCACAAAGAUGAUCAGUGGACAUACCAUGGACAUGGAGUCUCAUCCACCAAGUAUGCAGAGAGACCCAAGAAGACCUGCCUAAGGGUU